rnacentral:tRNA from 1 species
GCGGGGGUAGCCAAGUCUGGUCAAAGGUGCUAGAUUCAGGGUCUAGUCCGUUAGUCGGUUCGAGGGUUCGAAUCCCUUCCCCCGCA